rnacentral:ncRNA from 2 species
UUAAAUACAGAGGCUAUUGGUGUGAUCAUAUGAUCGCUUAAAAGGGAAGUUCGGUGAAAUUCCGACACGGUCCCGCCACUGUGAUGGAUAGAGCUUUACAAAUACCACUGUGCUAUGCAUGGGAAGGUGUAAAGCUUGUUAUUCCUAAGUCAGGAGACCUGCCAAUAGUAACAACGCUGC